AAAUGCAGAGACAACAAAAUCAAUUUCAAAGUCCUUGCAAGAUACUCCAUCUCUCAGGAUGCAGGACCCUUCAUGAUGACAGCCUCAACUUCAAGAUCAGUUUAACUUCAAAACCUCUGACAUUGGUUAUUUCUCAAGAGUUGUGAUUUUUUUUCUCCCUUGCAGCCACAGUUGGUCUAAAGGGACACGGAUGAAUCUGGCAACCAUCAUUCUCAGCAAAUUGACACAAGAACAGAAAAUGAAACACCACAUGUUCUCACUCAUAAGUGGGUGUUGAACAAUGAGAACACAUGGACACAGGGAGGAGAACAUCACACACUGGGGUCUGUUGGGGAGUGGGGGGCUAGGGGAGGGAUAGCAGGGGGUGGGGAGAUUGGGGAGGGAUAACAUUAAGAGAAAUACCUAAUGUAGGUGACAGGGGCAUGGAGGCAGCAAACCACCAUAGCAUGUGUGUACCUAUGUAACAAUCCUGCAAGAUCUGCACUUGUACCCCAUAACUUAAAGUAAAAUAAAAUAAAAAAAUCUCUACUCUACUUGUGGUUU
rnacentral:lncRNA from 13 species